rnacentral:snoRNA from 1 species
UUGCAGCCAAUUAAACCAACCCUGCUCUUUUCCCCGUGGGGGCCAGGUGUGCAAUGGCUGCAAGCAGCAGCCUCCUCAGUAAUGUAUGCAGCCUGUUGCCUGUAUGCGUUGCCCUAAGGGACCCUGGAGACAGGC